UCUUUGGUUACAUCUUCUGACAUCAGACUCGGAUUUCUCUUGAACUGAAUUUUAAUGUGCGUAUUGUUAUGCGUUUGCUUUACUACAUUGGUUAGAGGUAUAGGGGGAGGGUUGAGAUCUCACAAACAUGUUUAACCCCGCCGCAUUUUUGCGCCUGUCCCAAGUCAGGAGCCUCUGGCCUUUGUUAGUCUUGUAUUAUUUUAAUUUUAGUUUCUUGUGUACAAUUUGGAAAUUAGUAUGGCGUUCAUUAUCACUGGACUAGUAUAUAUUUGUUUAGGGGCCAGCUGAAGGACGCCUCCGGGUGCGGGAAUUUCUCGCUACAUUGAAGACCUGUUGGUGAUCUCUGCUGUUGUUUUUUAUUUGGGCGGGUUGUUGUCUCUUUGACACAUUCCCCAUUUCCAUUCUCAAUUUUAC
rnacentral:lncRNA from 1 species